UACGUAGGGCGCAAGCGUUGUCCGGAAUUAUUGGGCGUAAAGAGCUCGUAGGCGGCCUGUUGCGUCCGCUGUGAAAUCCCGGGGCUUAACCCCGGGCCUGCAGUGGAUACGGGCAGGCUGGAGGCAGGCAGGGGAGAACGGAAUUCCCGGUGUAGCGGUGAAAUGCGCAGAUAUCGGGAGGAACACCGAUGGCGAAGGCAGUGGGCUGGGCCGGCACUGACGCUGAGGAGCGAAAGCGUGGGGAGCGAACAGG
rnacentral:rRNA from 1 species